rnacentral:rRNA from 1 species
AUUGAACGCUGGCGGCAGGCCUAACACAUGCAAGUCGAGCGGACGAAGGGAGCUUGCUCCUGGAUUCAGCGGCGGACGGGUGAGUAAUGCCUAGGAAUCUGCCUUGUCGUGGGGGAUAACGUCCGGAAACGGGCGCUAAUACCGCAUACGUCCUGAGGGAGAAAGUGGGGGUUCUUCGGACCUCACGCUAUCAGAUGAGCCUAGGUCGGAUAAGCUAGUUGGUUGGGUAAAGGCCUACCAAGGCGACGAUCCGUAACUGGUCUGAGAGGAUGAUCAGUCACACUGGAACUGAGACACGGUCCAGACUCCUACGGGAGGCAGCAGUGGGGAAUAUUGGGCAAUGGGCGAAAGCCUGAUCCAGCCAUGCCGCGUGAGUGAAGAAGGUCUUCGGAUUGUAAAACACUGUAAGUUGGGAGGAAGAAAAGUGAGUUAAUACAUGGCUGUUUUGACGUUACCAACAGAAUAAGCACCGGCUAACUUCGUG